UGUCCUUAAAUUGAUAGUUCAUUAAAAAGUAUUUCCUAAUUGAUCUUUCUUUGAACAAUUUGAUUUGGGUGUGUUGAUAUUUUUCUCUUUUUUUUCAUUUGGAUUUGUUGUUGAUGUUCAAUUUUUGUUGUGCUUUUCAAUGAUUUCAAUUUUUGUGCCUUUAAUUUGGGUUUUCUGUUGGAAUCAAAUUCUGGGUUUCUUCAUUUUUGUUGAUCUUCUUUCAUAACUUUUUUCUGUUCAUAUACAAUUUUUUUGUCAGAAUCAACUUUUUGAAUUACUUCAUUUUAGUAUUAUAUUAUUGUGGGUUUAUGUUGGAGUUUCUUCACCUCAUAAAUUUGUUUUUGGCUCAAUAUAAAAAUCUUGAGAAAAAAUAGAUUCAUACAUGUUGUGAAGUUUUGAUUUUUCACUUUUUUUUAUGUUAGUAUCAAUUUGAUUUCUCUCAUCUCACUCUAGCUGGUAUGCUGUUAUUUUCACAUUGUUUUGUUCAUGAGUUCAAUCUGGGUGUCUUCAUAUUUGGAGUUUUUUUCAAUUUGAGUUAGUUUUUCAUGUCCAAUUUUUUCUUUUGCUUAAAAGACCUUGAUAAUUUAAAGCUUCAAUUUUGAUUUUGUUGUUUCAUUUUUCAAUUCGCCCAUGUUGCAUUUCAAUGUUUUUUUGUCAUAUGCAGUAAUUAAUUUGACUUUCUUUCUGUUCAUAUGGAUUUUUGAUGCAAUUCAACGGAAAAAAAAAUUUCAGGACAACUUUGAUUCCGAGCGAACCAAUUUUUUGUGUUAGAUUGGCAUUAUUUAUGGCCACCAACAUUUCAUCGGAGCAUAUUAGAAAAGAUAUAAAGAAUGAAGAGAUAUUAAAACUAAUCCAUCUAUAUUUUGUAUGUUUUUGUAUAUAUGUAAAUGGUGUAUCAAGUCAUUGUCAACUGAGUUGUCCUUUGUACAGAAAAGGAGAACACUACAUUCUGAGGAGAAAGUUUGUGCACAAGCUAAUCAACUUGAAAAGCUGGUUGUGAAGAUAAAAGAGGAAGUUGAAAUGAAGAAAAAGGAGAAAAGAGACUUCGUAGCGCAUAAAGGUGAAAUUGAGAAUAGAAUAUCUAAGUUAAAUUAGAAGGUUGACAAGGAUUGGAUUGUUGUUACUUCCCAUUUAAUUGAAGCAAUAGAAGGAGAUAUGGUGCAACACAAAAGAAACCCAAUUUGCCUGGAGCAUAGCACUAGCCUAUAUCUCGUACACCAAAACGACUAAAGGUCCAUGUGUCCAUUUUCUCCAAGUGUAGUAUAUACCACUAUUUUGCAAUAUGGUUGGCAACACCAUUUUGUCUACUCAACUACUACAAUUGUUGAUGGCGUACAAUUUUGUUGUUGAUAGCGUGGGCUUUGUUGCCUACUUCUUGGAAAUUGAUAGAGACUUUCUAUCUGGCGCUCAGUUGCACUAUUGAAAUGCAACAUUAUGUAAAUACACUGCAGCAUUAUGUAAAUACUAUAGAAUGACUCUAUAUAUGCACUUUUCUUACAUUCGACUCACACAAUUUAGCAACGUUGCGCCCGUGCUUGCACGGAAAACUCUUGCCUAGUCCUAUAUAUAUAGUAUUAGUAUUUAAUAUCUUUGCA